GUGCGCAGAUGUGCCCAGCAUCUGCGCACAUCUGCCUUAAUAUAUAGCUGUGCCCCCUCAGUAUACAAUAUAUAGCUGUGCCCCCUUAGUAUAAAUAUAUAGCUGUGCCCCCUUACUAAAUAUAUAUAUAUUUUAUUAUGAGAUAUCCC